CGACUAAAAAUAAACUUUUCAUUAAAUGAAAAAUAAAAUACAUUAGGUAUAGAUCUGAUAUAGAAAAAUUAAAAUACAUACACUAAAAUAAAAACCACAUUCUAAUUCUAAUUUCUAUUAUUUUCAUCAUCAUCAUUAAUGACACAUGGCCAAUCAACUCGCAGCAGUAAGGCCUUUAUCAACCUCUGUAUCUCUCUGAACAUCAUUGCUCUCACGGCGACCAACUCACUCUGCAGGUCAUUAACCUGGCUCUGAAGUUCUCGUAUUGUGUCGCGUAAAAUAGUAAUGUCCCAAAUAGGAUCAGCCAUAUUGCAUGAAUUGACAAAUGUAAAAAAAAAGAGUCCAAGUGUAAUACAAUGUAUACUACCAAGUGAUAGAUUUACACCAAAAAAAAACUUAUCUCAAUGAUAAAGGAAUAUACUUUUUGAAGAGAAGUGGUUGAAGAUGUCAAACGAAAAGAAAUAAUGCAAGAAAUAAAUAAAGUUUAGUAGAAUAAAGAUAAAGGAGGGACCUAUUUAUACAGGAUUGAAUCUGGAUGUGUCAGGCCAAAAGGCACGACUGUUAAGCUCCAUUGUAUUAAUUACAUGCAAACUAGUGGCAUUUUACUUUCUGUGAAAAGUCGCAACUUUUUCUUUUACAUUAAUACUUCUCAUAUUUUCAAAACGGUUUUGAGACUAGAUAACAACCGUUAUUAUUAAGCUAUUGCAACAGAUUGUCUGUAUGUGUAAUAGAUGAUCUGUCAAAAUAGAUUUACCAUCUAUUGCACUAGAUGGUUUGUAUAUGCAAUAGAUGAGAUAUCUGUUGCCAUAUAUGUAUUAUCUAUUGUGACAGAUUGACCAUUUUUGGAGAUGUUUUGAUUUCUUCUAAUAGCUGAUUCAUCAGUUGCAACAGAUGAAGAAUUCAAUUCAUCAGCUAUUUUGAAUGUGUUAGAUAAAAAGUCAUAACUACCUCUUUUUUAGUAGUCAUCACAUGCAUGUAGAUGAAUAAAUAUUUUCUAGUCUUUCACAAUAGAUUAACCAUUUAUUACAACAUAUAGAUUAUCUGUUGCGACAGAUGGACCAUAUAUUGGAGGAGAUGUUUUGAUUUCUCAAUAUGGUUUGAUUUUUUCUAAUAACUGAUUCAUCAGUUACAACAGAUGGAGAAUUUGGUUCAUCAGCUAUUUUGAAUAUGUUAGAUAAAAAUUCAUGACUCUUCACCUCUUUUUUAAUAGUCAUCACAUGCGUGCAGAUGAAUAAACAAUGUCUAGUUAGUCGGAACAGAUUUACCAUUUGUUGCAACAUAUGGAUUAUUUGUUGCGAUAGAUGGACCAUACGUUGGAAAAGAUAUUUUGAUUUCUUCCAACAACUGAUUCAUCAAUUUCAAUAGAUAGAGAUUUUAAUUUAUCAGCUUUUUUGAAUGUGUUAAGAUAAAAAGUCAUGACUUUUCACACCUCUUCUUUAAUAGUCAUCAUAUGCGUGCAGAAGAAUAAACAACAUUGUCUAACAUGUCUUGAUGGGGUAGAAGAAUAAGGUGCGUGCAAUGGAUCCACUUUCAUGUGUGGGAGUUAUAUAUUAUUAACUAGGCUACCGUGACAGAAACAUAUAAAGUGCAAUGAUUUUGUGAAUGCAGUUUUUUGCCGAUUGGACACUGAUCCUUCAAACAAGAUCCUGCAUUGUACAAUUUAGUUUGAUAGGUGCGAACUGAUAAGGCUGAAGGGUUCCAAAGCGGUGGUGUCGAUAUUCUAUUACAAUUUAAUGAUGGUCUAUGCUCAUGUUUUUGUGUCAAGUUUGGAUAAGGGUUUAAGUUUUUAGCAGUAGUGUAAAUAUCCAAUAGUGGUUGGGCAGGUUUUUAUGGCACAAUGGACUUCUUAAAAGGUAUCUGAAGCCUCGCACUACAGCAAACAAUGAUGAAACCAAUAGAAAUUCCCCUGGUCCAAAUUUAUAUGGAUGGAUUGCUGGAGGAGACUUUUAUACAAUAGAAGGUGCUUGGGAGAAUACCUGCGCGAAAAGAGGAAGGUUGAGAAGGCCAUAUAUCAUCUCAGCUUCUGUGGAAUAAAUGGCAAAGAAUUAAAAUUCAAAGAAAACAAUCAACAUAUCCAAAGAGAGAAUAGAUAUACAAAUAUAACAAUAAAGUUCAUUCUACAGACAAGAGAAGCAAAGUAAACCAAAAGUAUGAGCGUUCUAUAAGGAAUAAUUCUAUUCCAUUUACCCCAAAAUUGUCAAAUGGCAAGAUAGGUGGAUAUAGAGAAUUAAGUGGUUACACUGGCAGAAUUCAGCUCGAGCACGGCUACCUGGGUGGACCUUGUGGGAGAGAAAGCUAAUCCAUUAUGUGAAGGACUAAAACGUAGUUCAAAUUCUAUGAAUUUGUAAGGCCAAGUUAUUUGGACGGGGCAAAGUCUAAAGGGAUUUGACUUACAAGUUGAGGUUGAGCCUAGAACUGCAGUUAAGAUCACGAUAGAGGAUACACAGGAUGAAGUGAGGUUUUUAAAUACAGUGAUCAUUUUCUAUGCUCUUGGGUCUAAACUACCACAUGCAGUGAUAGAAGGGUAUUUAAUCAAAUGUUAAAGAGAAUGGGCAUCGAAAGGGUAGCACUAGUCCAUAGAAGGAAUCUUUUUAGAGAUUUUCUUUAAAUGAGAAGAAGAUUAAAGUAGCAGAAAAAGGUGAAGGUGUCUAAAUAUUUGAUCGUAAACCCAUUGUGGUUAAAUUUGAAAAUUAGAUGUUGAGGUUACAAAGGAAAAGUGACGAAAGUGUUGGUAUGGAUAAGAUUAUCAGGAUUGAGUGUAGACUAUUGUAGUAAUGCAACCUUGACAAAAAAUACAAAACUAAUAGGGACUCUAUUGAAAGCUGACACAACUACUAUUAAUAAGGAAUAUAUGACUUAUGUCAGGGCACUUAUGGAAA
rnacentral:lncRNA from 1 species